AAACAGUGACUUUUGGCUAGUGAUACUUUAGUAUUUAAAAAUAAGUUAUGUAAAAUAAUCAUAAAUAUGCAAAAUUAACAAACAUCUUUACAUAGUUAAUGAUUUUGUGGUGUUUGCUGCUUAUUUUCUUUAUGCUAGCUAGCUGGCUAAUACUUUAUGUACUUAAUGUUUCUUUUGUUGAUAGUAUUAUUUUCCCAUUGGCUACAAUUCAGAGCACAUUUUAAUGAAAUAAAUAAAUAUAUUUAUUUUUAAUAAAAAUAUAAAAUAAACAUAUUUAAUAAAAUGUUAGAUUGUGCAAAAUGUAGCUAAUAAAAGUGUACAAAGGCUUUCCUUAGCUGUUUAGAGUAAACAACAUUUUAGUUCUGUUUUACAUUAGUGUGUUAAUGUAGACUCAAAGCAUAUUAAUAAUAUUUUGUGUCAGAUGGUUAAAUCUUUCAGGAAUGUUUGUAGGACACCUGAGGGAAAUAAGUUCAGCCACAUCGAAGAAGACAUUCUUCAUGACGACUUCCUGACAGCCCAAAAUUAGUGAUCGCUCACAUCUGGAAUUUAGGGCCAAGGCUGAGGAAGCGAGAGAGCAGCCAGCAGAUGACGAAGAUGUUUUCGACGUCCAAAUCAAUGUACCUCUAGGUGAUGCAUUUCAAGAGAAUCUGUUUGGACAGCAGGAGGUUGAUGAAUGCUGAAAAACAGACACAACCACCACCGUGAUGCACAUGUACACCAAUGACAUCAGGAAGGAUGCUGUAGAAGCUCUCAGUAAGGUUCCUCAUGCCCUCCAGGAGUCAAGACCUCGUGUGACGGCUUAUUCGGAUGCUGAUCAGAGGCUUUGCCCGAUGUUGAAAUUAACAUUGACACCUAGUGUGAAGGAGAAUAAUUGCUGAUUUGCAGCCGACUGAGGAAACGAAGCUUCUUCACAUGAAGCACUGUAUGCUGUUUGAUGUGUAUAUCAGUGAUCCGUGAAGUCAGCAUACCGCACAAGCAAAAAAAUGAUUAAAAGCUUUUCUGUUUGUGGGA